rnacentral:rRNA from 1 species
GCACGGUAACGUGUGGAGCUGACUGUUACUAAUCGAUCGAGGGCUUGACCAA